rnacentral:rRNA from 1 species
GAUGAACGCUGGCGGCGUGCUUAACACAUGCAAGUCGAACGGAAAGGCUCCUGCUUGCAGGGGUACUCGAGUGGCGAACGGGUGAGUAACACGUGGGUGACCUGCCCUUCACUUCGGGAUAAGCCUGGGAAACUGGGUCUAAUACCGGAUAGGACGAUGGUCUGCAUGCCAUUGUGGAAAGUUUUUCGGUGUGGGAUGAGCUCGCGGCCUAUCAGCUUGUUGGUGGGGUAGUGGCCUACCAAGGCGUCGACGGGUAGCCGGCCUGAGAGGGUGUACGGCCACAUUGGGACUGAGAUACGGCCCAGACUCCUACGGGAGGCAGCAGUGGGGAAUAUUGCACAAUGGGCGCAAGCCUGAUGCAGCGACGCCGCGUGGGGGAUGACGGCCUUCGGGUUGUAAACUCCUUUCGCUAGGGACGAAGCGCAAGUGACGGUACCUGGAGAAGAAGCACCGGCUAACUACGUG